GAGAAUAUUGUUUAAUGGUAAAACGGUUGUCUUUUAAGCAAUUUAUACUUGGUUCGAUCCCAGUUAUUCUCA
rnacentral:tRNA from 1 species